rnacentral:rRNA from 1 species
AUACGGAGGGUGCAAGCGUUACUCGGAAUCACUGGGCGUAAAGCGCGCGCAGGCGGCCAUUUAAGUUGGAUGUGAAAGCCUACGGCUCAACCGUAGAACUGCACCCAUAACUAUUUGGCUAGAGUGUGGGAGAGGAAGAUGGAAUUAGUUGUGUAGGGGUAAAAUCCGUAGAGAUAACUAGGAAUACCAAAAGCGAAGGCAAUCUUCUGGAACAUUACUGACGCUGAGGCGCGAAAGCGUGGGGAGCAAACAGGAUUAGAAACCCGGGUAGUCC